rnacentral:rRNA from 1 species
AACGAACGCUGGCGGCAGGCUUAACACAUGCAAGUCGAACGCAUCGCAAGAUGAGUGGCAGACGGGUGAGUAACGCGUGGGAACAUACCCUUUUCUACGGAAUAGCUCUGGGAAACUGGAAUUAAUACCGUAUACGCCCUACGGGGGAAAGAUUUAUCGGGGAAGGAUUGGCCCGCGUUGGAUUAGCUAGUUGGUGGGGUAAAGGCCUACCAAGGCGACGAUCCAUAGCUGGUCUGAGAGGAUGAUCAGCCACAUUGGGACUGAGACACGGCCCAAACUCCUACGGGAGGCAGCAGUGGGGAAUAUUGGACAAUGGGCGCAAGCCUGAUCCAGCCAUGCCGCGCGAGUGAUGAAGGCCUUAGGGUUGUAAAGCUCUUUCACCGAUGAAGAUGAUGACGGUAGUCGGAGAAGAAGCCCCGGCUAACUUCGUGCCAGCCGCCGCGGUAAUAC